rnacentral:rRNA from 1 species
CCCUUAGAUGUUCUGGGCCGCACGCGCGCUACACUGACGAAUGCAACGAGCUUAUAACCUUGGCCGAAAGGUCUGGGUAAUCUCCAAAUUUCGUCGUGAUGGGGAUAGAUUAUUGCAAUUAUUAAUCUUCAACGAGGAAUGCCUAGUAAGCGCCAGUCAUCAGCUUGCGUUGAUUACGUCCCUGCCCUUUGUACACACCGCCCGUCGCUCCUACCGAUUGAAUGGUCCGGUGAAGCGUUCGGACCGUGGCCUUUGGACGGUUCGCCGUCUGUUGGCUGCGGGAAGUUCGUUAAACCUUAUCAUUUAGAGGAAGGAGAAGUCGUAACA